UGAGGAAUCUGUCCAUCGGCGGGGGAUAGCCGGCCCAACGGCCGGGUAAUACCGCGUACGACCACAUGGGGACAUCCCUGAGUGGUGAAAGCAGCAAUGCGCCGAUGGAGUGCCUCGCGGCCUAUCAGCUAGUUGGUGAGGUAACGGCUCACCAAGGCAACGAUGCGUAGCCGACCUGAGAGGGUGAUCGGCCACAUUGGAACUGAGACACGGUCCAGAUCCGUACGGGG
rnacentral:rRNA from 1 species